UCCUUUCAAAACCACCUGUGGGUCUAGCUGACAAUGCAUCAAGUGUGUAUGCCAUACCUGACACUUACAAGCCACAUAUGACACCAUAGGCUGUAUGGUGAUAACAAGCGACAGAAAAAGAUGGCAUCUCAACCUGGAAAGGGCUGGUCCACAGGACAAAACAGAGGCGUCCAUAAAACCCAGAUGGUCCAUGAAGCACUAAGCGAAGCAUCCCAAUACCUCCAGAAGUAUUUUCCCAGACUUGGGGAAUUAUCCAAAGCAAGAAGUGAUCGUACAUACCCUGGAUUCCCAGAUGAUCAUGGAGCAUGACCAUCAUCUGAGAGAUUAACUUCUGGACUGGAAGAGUUUAAAUCUGUUCUCAACGCUCAGACAUGCAUAGCCCCGGGAGGAACCCAGGGCCACAAGUGCAUUCAACGUACAGAUGAUCAGUGUGUCAAUGUAUCCUGCAUUGCACAUUAAUUCCCACAGCUAGCUGCAUUCUUCAUCGACACACAAGCCAAGCAAUCCACCACUAAGAGUCAUAAAAAGCACUUUGAACAACACAGAAAGACAAAAAUACAGCAACAUCAGAAAGGAUCAAUCACAGUGGGAGCAAGCCAACUGCCACAUAAUGGAAGGCACUCAAGCAACCCUAUGGAGAGUCCCACAAGGUAACUGAAGGUUCUGGCCAAAAGAUAGUGAAGAACUGAGGCUUCAUGUCAACAGCUGAGUGAGUGAACUUGAGAGCAGAUUCUCCAGCCCCAGUCAAGCCUUUGGAUUACUGCAGGCUUGGUCAAUCAUCUUUAUUUUGAUUUUAUGAGAGACCUCACUCCUGAACCACCAGAAGAGUCUAUAGUAGUCAUCCUAAAGCUGAAAGACGUUACACUUAAGGAACUACUACAUACAAGAAGUCUCUCCUGGAUCAUAUUUGUAAUAGAUGCCAACAUCAUGGAUUUCCAGCUGAUGUUGUGACUUUGGAGAGGAUAUGGAUGGGAAGAGGUUACUUGCAGGGAAAGACAAUUCCCAUGUCAUGAAGACACUUCACCGGCCAAGUGGGAAGGCUCACAUCAUGAGCCUAAGGAAACUGAUGCUCAAAGGAUUAUGUUAAGGAUCAAGGAAAAGACAACUAGCAAGAGUGCUUUGUAAAUCAUAAUAUGCCAAAUACAAUCUUAACUAUAGUUCUGCAAAAAUAGGAAUGAUAUUAAAUUGAGAGUCAUAACUUGGAGUUGCCCUGACACCAGAGUCUAGAGAACACCUAAAUGAACCAGAGAAGAGGGCAGAAAAGGCAUCCCUUGGGGAAGAAAGAAGAUCUGGUGUACUAAAGAACUCUGCUGUGGAAUAAAAGAAUAAGAAUUAGGGUUUACUUGAUAGCUUCUAACAAAGGGUGUCAAGAAGUGCAAAACACCAAAGAAUAUCCCAGCAGU